AUUCGUUUUCGGUACAGAGUAAAGUCAGUGCUUCUCUCAAGAGAAUAAGGCGAUCAUCCAUCACGCGAAGAGAUGCUGAUAAUCUGCUCUUCAUGAAAGCUUUUCUUGGAUAAUAUUUAAUCUUAAAAAAUAUUUGUGACCGCGCGCAAUGCGGUUAAUAGAAUCAGUGUUUGCUUCGUCAGUAGUAUUUUUAACAUUUUUUAGAGCACAAUAGCUCUGAUUAAAUUUAAUUAGAAUAAACAAAGGAUCGCGAAGAUAGAAUCAGUGUUUGUUCGCCGAUUAAUUUAUACGGACGCGUUAUUAGUUUCUUAUUUUUAUUUUGUUUUUACAAAUAUUCGUUUUCGGUACAGAGUAAAGUCAGUGCUUCUCUCAAGAGAAUAAGGCGAUCAUCCAUCACGCGAAGAGAUUUCUUUCCUCCUCCUACCUGAUGGCAGCCUUCUUCUCGAUGACUUCUAGGUCAGAACACAGCGAAGCCGUUCGUCGCAUCGUAUGGUGAGUCGCAUGGUUUUUGGUUCCUCUGGUCGCUCAAUCAUGUCGUAGGAUGAGAGAUCCGAAUCGACACGAGUGACUGGUUGUAUACGUAGAAUUUUGCACGAGCACAAUGAUCGCGGGUAUUUAUUUAUAAUACCCGUGAGUAGUAACAAUUAUUUCUUUUGUGAUUUAUUAGUUCAGGCUAGAGUCUUCUUAUGCAUCGCGUUUUUGAUUAAUAAUAUUUAGCGAUUUUGUAAAUUUU